AUGCCAUGGUAUAGGCACUCCCUCUAAAGAUCUUUGUACCUUUCUUAUGCAUCAUAGAGAGAUUCAUUGUCUUUCUGCCUAAAGGUGUUGAGUUCAGCUUUAAGUUU